rnacentral:rRNA from 1 species
UAAAGCUCUGUCCUCAAGGAAGAAUAAAUGACGGUACUUGAGGAGGAAGACCCCGGCUAACUACGUGCCAGCAGCCGCGGUAAUACGUAGGGGGCGAAGCGUUAUCCGGAAUCACUGGGCGUAAAGGGGUGCGUAGGCGGUUUUCUAAGUCAGAAGUGAAAGGACUAUGGCUCAACCAUAGUAAGCUUUUGUAAACUAGUUAAACUUAGAGUGCAGGAGAGGAAGUAGGAAUUCCUAGUGUAGAGGUGAAAUUCGUAGAUAUUAGGAGGAACACCAGUGGCGAAGGCGACUUUCUGGACUGUAACUGACGCUGAGGCACGAAAGCGUGGGGAGCGAACAGGAUUAGAUACCCUGGUAG